rnacentral:rRNA from 1 species
ACUAAUACCCCAUAACACAGGGGUACCGCAUGGUAAUAUAUGUUAAAGAUGCAAAUUGGUUAUGGAUGGGCAUGCGCAGGAUUAGGUAGUUGGCGGGGUAACGGCCCACCAAGCCCGCGAUCCUUACGGGAACUGAGAGGUUUGUCCCCCACACUGGUACUGAGACAGGGACCAGACUCCUACGGGAGGCAGCAGUGAGGAAUAUUGGUCAAUGGUCGAAAGACUGAACCAGCCAAGUCGCGUGAAGGAAGACGGUACUAAGUAUUGUAAACUUCUUUUGUUCGGGGGUAAAAUGAGGGACGUGUCCUUAAUUGCAAGUACCGGACGAAUAAGCAUCGGCUAACUCCGUGCCAGCAGCCGCGGUAAUACGGAGGAUGCGAGCGUUAUCCGGAUUUAUUGGGUUUAAAGGGUGCGUAGAUGGUCUGAUAAGUCAGCGGUGAAAUGUCCAUGCUUAACAUGGGAACUGCCGUUGAAACUGCCGGACUUGAGAUUGGACGAGGUAUGCGGAAUUCGUAGUGUAGCGGUGAAAUGCAUAGAUAU